rnacentral:rRNA from 1 species
CAGUAGCCGCGGUAACACGUAGGGUGCAAGCGUUAAUCGGAAUUACUGGGCGUAAAGCGUGCGCAGGCGGUUAUAUAAGACAGAUGUGAAAUCACCGGGCUCAACCUGGGAACUGCAUUUGUGACUGUAUAGCUAGAGUACGGCAGAGGGGGAUGGAAUUCCGCGUGUAGCAGUGAAAUGCGUAGAUAUGCGGAGGAACACCGAUGGCGAAGGCAAUCCCCUGGGCCUGUACUGACGCUCAUGCACGAAAGCGUGGGGAGCAAACAGGAUUAGAUACCCGUGUAGUCCCUGUCUCUUAUAC